AGUGAACGCUGGCGGCAGGCCUAACACAUGCAAGUCGAACGGCAGCACAGAGGAGCUUGCUCCUUGGGUGGCAAGUGGCGGACGGGUGAGGAAUGCAUCGGAAUCUGCCUAUUUGUGGGGGAUAACGUAGGGAAACUUACGCUAAUACCGCAUACGUCCUACGGGAGAAAGUGGGGGACCUUCGGGCCUCACGCAGAUCGAUGAGCCGAUGCCGGAUUAGCUAGUUGGCGGGGUAAAGGCCCACCAAGGCGACGAACCGUAGCUGGUCUGAGAGGAUGAUCAGCCACACUGGAACUGAGACACGGUCCAGACUCCUACGGGAGGCAGCAGUGGGGAAUAUUGGACAAUGGGCGCAAGCCUGUUCCAGCCAUGCCGCGUGUGUGAAGAAGGCCUUCGGGUUGUAAAGCACUUUUGUCCGGAAAGAAAAGCGCUCGAUUAAUACUCGGGUGUUAUGACGGUACCGGAAGAAUAAGCACCGGCUAACUUCGUGCCAGCAGCCGCGGUAAGAC
rnacentral:rRNA from 1 species